CCUGCCAUUCAUAUUCAAAGUAUCUGCGUAAUAGUCUCAUUUACAGUUGAUGAAGGCACCAAAGGAGCUGUCAUUGGGCUGUGCUCUUGACUUCUGUCUGCAGUGGAACCCAUUUGUGAGUUGCAGGUAGUGGAAGGGCUGGAGGGAGUCCCCCUGAAUGGAAAAACCCAGGCUUUCAGACACUUGAACGACAGGAGUUCAACUGUUUUAUCAGAGCAGCGAGUGGCAUUAUCCCAGAAGCUCCUCACAAUAAGCUUCUGUACCAAAUUAAUUAAGGUAAGGCUUGUAAUUCCAUUCCAGGGCAUUCCAAUGAAACUAAUUUCAGACACAUAAUGCACAAUUGGCUUUUCCACUUAACUUCCAAAUGAAACAUUCAGGGCAGUUAGCACCAUCUACGUUAAUCAGCAAAACCAUCAGAUCCUUGGGCAGCAGAGGCAGGCAGCCUUUUCCAGGAGGGUGAGGAGGAAGGUCUGUGUGCAGUGCACUGGUCGUUAGACGAUUCAGAUCAGAGAGGAGGAAGCUCCAGGGCCGCUCACCAUCCUUCUGGGAGAAAGAGCCCUUUUAGAAAAGAAUAUGGUGGGAGCUGUGGUAAAAGAAAAAUUACUCAUUGGACACUUGUUAAAAUGGUGAGAAAGAUUUUACUUGUUGUGAUGUGAGUCAACUGUAUUGCCAUAGGGGAGAAAGAUGGGGCUCAACUCUGAACAUACCCAAGAGAGCCAGGGAUUUGUAGCCAAUGAGCAGAAUGAGGGCAUCAGCAGAUGAAAAGUUACUAAGUGGGGACAUCCAGUAUAGAGGGGAUUCUUGCUGAAGACAGGCCAAGGACUUAGACAUCAACGGCUGAGGUGAGGAACUUGAUCAGAUACCCAGUAUUGGGAGAUGAUUUAACAGGAUUCAUGCUGAAACUGAACUCUUCAAGGAAGGACAGAAAGUCAGGGUCCAGGUUGAGUGAAGAGGGUGCAGGGGAGUCUGAGUGAAGUUUGUUCAAGGAGAGUCUUUGUCCAUCCAGAUGGCCAACAGGCAUGUGAAAAGAUGCUUCAUAACCCUAAUUAGUAGAGAAAUGCAGAUCAAAACUACAAUGAGGUAUCACCUCAUAUCAGUCAGACUGGCCUUCGUUAAAAAGUCUACAAAUAAUAAAUGCUGGAGAGGGUAUGGAGAAAAGGGAACCCUCCUACUCUGUUGAUGGGAAUGUAAAUUGGUGCAGCCAAUAUGGAAAACAGUAUGGAGUUUCCUU